GACGAACGCUGGCGGCGUGCUUAACACAUGCAAGUCGAACGGAAAGGCCCUGCUUGCAGGGUGCUCGAGUGGCGAACGGGUGAGUAACACGUGGGUGCUCUGCCCCUUACUUUGGGAUAAGCCUGGGAAACUGGGUCUAAUACUGGAUAGGACCAUGCUGUAGGUGGUGUGGUGGAAAGAUUAGUUUCGGUAAGGGAUGAGCUCGCGGCCUAUCAGCUUGUGGGUGGGGUAAUGGCCUACCAAGGCGUCGACGGGUAGCCGGCCGGAGAGGGUGGACGGCCACAUUGGGACUGAGAUACGGCGCAGACGCCUACGGGAGGCAGCAGUGGGGAAUAUUGCACAAUGGGCGCAAGCCUGAUGCAGCGACGCCGCGUGGGGGAUGACGGCCUUCGGGUUGUAAACUCCUUUCAGCCAUGACGAAGCCCUUGUGGUGACGGUAGUGGGAGAAGAAGCACCGGCUAACUACGUG
rnacentral:rRNA from 1 species